rnacentral:lncRNA from 10 species
GUAAGAAAUGAAUUCCUUUUCUUCAUAAAUUACCAAGUUUCAGGUAUUCUGUUAUAAGAAACCAAAAAUAGACUAAGACACCCUGAGAAGUUAGGUAAACAGCCCAAGGUCAUAAAGUCAGAAGGCAGAGGAGUUAGAAUUCAACCCCAGGUAGUCUGAAUGCAGAGGCCAAUAAAGGUCAGCGAGUUCCAUGUCCCACUUCGUACAUGAGCUCAUUUGAGUACACUGGCAGACAUAAAUGCUUGCUUUUCUUAAACUACAUUCCCUGUCUCUCCCUCCCACCCCAAAAUAUAGGUAGUAGAAUCUGUGUGAGACAAUCUUUAUGAACAAUGUCAUCAUGAUUUAAAAACACUCCCCAGCUCUAUCCUUGAGAUUCACGCUGAAGCCACGGACCUCCCUGAAUCUAGCAGAACACCUUACACAGAGAAUAUUAACACAUUUUGUUGGCAGUGAAGUUUGCUAAAGGAAAAGGGAACAUGGAAGGGAAGAUGAGCUCCAUCAGGAAUAUCCAGUACCAUGCAGUGUGCUUGGCACACAAAAGGGGCUAAAAAAGGUUUUUGGAAAAUGGAAAUGUGAGAGGGUGCCUGUGCAGCAGUAUUCACUGUGAUAGGAAGUGAGAAGCAGUCUGAGUGUUCAUUGCUGAGGGAAUCAAGGGCAAAAUAUCAUGGAUGCACUCAUGGACAAAUAAGCAGCAGUUUGAAGCAACAACCUAGAUGGAUGUACAGCCAUCAAGAGGAUCUUAAAGUGUGGUCUUUAGUGGAAAAAAAGCAGAAGCAAUGUAUGGGAGACUGAGUAAUUACAUAUAAGCUCACAUCACUAUCUCUUCCACCACUGUCAUCCAUCAUGACUGAUCUGGGAGAUGAAACAGCACAGAUCUAAAGGACGUGGUAAGAAUCGAGAUCACCAGAGAUCAGUAGAUACUUGCAUACUUGCAGGAUUAACACUGUCUGGAUUCCAACGAUCAGCUGAGUAUGUUCAAGAUAAAGCUAUAGUACAUAUUUUAGAUUGGGGAUUGGCAACAAAUAGCUGUAGACUACCUUCUGAGGAAUAAGUGUUUUCACAUGUGUGGGUGUCAUUUCUAAUCCCAGCAUCACAGUCAGGUCCAGAUACCUGUUUCUGAUCUUUGGUCCUAUGCCUAAUCUCCUCCAAGAGUCCUUCCCUGGAUCUCCUAUCUAAGCAAGAUGCUCGAUGCCCACCAAUGAGUACUGCACCAAGUUCAUUUCCACUAGCCUGUGUUACAAUUUGUGUUUCUGUAUGUUUCCCUUACUUGUUAUUCUUUGUCUUCCGCAUUAGACUGAAAGCACUGCCACGGGGACCAUGUCUAGGACAUAGGAGGUCCUUAAUAAAUAUUUCUUGAGUGGAUAAAUGGUGAACCAUAGGGGUGGCAUAAGAGCAAAUAGAGGGUAGAUGAGCACUAAUCCAUUCACCACCCUGUUUAUGGGUGAUGGAUCUUGGAUGGCCUUUUUCAUAGUCAAAACAUACUUUUUAGAUCUGGCUUCUUGGGAUGUAUUCAAGGAUGCUAGCCAUGUUUGAGACUGUAAAUAUGUCUAGUGAAUAGGGCUUCAGGCUGUGUGUGUUUGCCUUGUUUUGCACAGAAUUCGGCACAGCCCCAAGCACAGAUGGGUGCUUCAUAAAUAUUAUGGAAGGAUGAUGACACAAAAGAUUAUUUAAUACCUCUACAUGGGGUGGAGACGGACCUCAGGCCACAAACAUACUUUCAAUGUGUUUUACUUCUGAAAUCAUUUGAACCAAAAUGUUUCAGCAACACAGAUUCAUCUGCAACCACAAAUCAGACACAUUCAGAAUGACAAAGCCCCAAAAGAAUGCCAUUUUCAAGGCUGAAACUGUAUUAUUCUGGGCUAAAUGGAAUCCUUGUUUUAGUGACACUGUAAGAGUAGAAAUUAAAGACACUGAAAAUCUUCCCUUGGGGAGCCACAAUUAUCUGUGAACAAUGAAAGUUUGUCUGAAUAAUUCAUCAGCCUCAAGGGUACAGGCCUCCCCUUAUUCUGGAAUCCCAGGAGUUUAGGCAAGUGUGUCAUUUAAUGGAUCUCAACUGUGUCCUCAGUUGUUAUUAUUCCAGGGCCUGGCAUUUAUGGGCACAUUCCUAUAAUUUUACUAAUUAAAGAAAAAAUAAGCUAUAUGGGAAACCACUGUCAAGGUCGAAAUUUUGAAGCUGCAUUGAUUUUACCUAGGAAGAAAGAAGCUUAUAAAGUGUCCAUCAUGAGAAUCCACCUGGGACCUACACAACAGAUCAAAUACCCAGAACAAAUCACCAAGUCAGAGCCCCACAGAAUUCUGAUUCCCAACCAGCAAGCAUGAAUAAUCCUUUUAAAUGGUCACUUACAUAUCAGAACAGGUCCUUUGUGAAAUUUCUAAGCAAGGCCUCUGGUUUCUGACUGAAACAGAGAUUUAUUGAGAAGGAGGGGUAAAGUGAAAUCAAGAACUACUGGGAAAUUUCCACAAGAAACAAGGACAAAUGGUUUUUGUUGUCAGAAUAAAACCAGCCUCCCCUAGCCAUGGUUUGGAAAGUUAUUUGCUAGCCCACAGGGGACAAUAUUCUCAACUGGUUUAUCAGGGACCCUUUUGAUCCAAUUAUAAUUAUUGGGCAGAUACAGUAGUACCCUAUUAUCAGAAGACCUAGUUUCAAAUCCUGAGUCAAUUUCUAAUUCACUGUGUGACCUUGUACAAGUCACUUAAGCUCUCUGAUCAUUGGUUCAACAUCUUUAAUAUGAGGAGAGUAAUACCUACCUCAAUUACCUCAUAAAAUUAUUGCAAAGAUCAAGUGAGUUGAUAUGUUACAAAUUAUUUCUAAAUUAUAAGAUUCUGUAUAAGUGGAAGGGUUAAAUAUACUCCCAUAUUAUUAAAUACCCUACAUAUCACUCAGGAUCCUAUAUGACUCUGAGUUCUCAAUUUCUAGAAAUGGUCCCAUUUUUGCUUUGUUCCCUACAAUUCUACGGAGUCUUUUUUUUUUUUAAAGGAAGGGUGUAGGCAAAGGUAAAUGGGAGAAAACAUGGAAUCACAUACCACUCUUUGGUGCUGCUAGGCAAGAAUUUUAAACUGAGUUUAGUUCACCAUCGUGGACUUAAGGUCCAUAUCACCUCAGGGAGACAAGUAGAGUGGGAGGCAUCCAAAAGGUAGGUGAUUCUUCUCCCCUCUAGUGAAGAAUACAAGGUCAAUUUACAAAAAAGCACCAGCAGCAAAUAAUUGGAAAAUUAAAUUCAUAAAACAUUCAUAAUAGCGUCAAAAUAAAGAAAAUACUCAGAAAUAAAUUUAACAAAAAUUGUAUAAGAUCUCUACAUUAAAAAUUAUGAAAUACAUGUAAGAGAAAUUAAAGAAAACCUAAAUAGAGAGAUAUACCACAUUCAUGGAAUGGAAGAUUCAAGAUUAUUAAAAUACUAUUCUCCCCAAAUGGCUCUAUAGAUUCAACAUAAUCCCAAUCAAAAUCCCAGUAGGCUUUGGUAGAAAUUGAGAUGUUGGUUCUAAAAUGAAAUAAAAUGCAGGGGACCUAGAAUAUAUAAUUUCCCUUUAAUUUGACAAAGAAGAAAAACAUAUUGGGAAGCUCACCUAAUUUCAGUGUAAUAUUUACAUACGAAUCAACAAAUGGAUCAGUGGUAUAGAAUAGAGAAUGCUGAAAGAGAUCUACAUAUAUAUGGUCAACAGAUUUUUAAUAAUGGUGCCAAGGCUAUUCAGGGGAAAGAAAAUUCUUUUUUAAAAAUGGGAUUGGAAAAACUGGAUAAGGGAAAUAAGUGAACCUCGACCCCUACCUUAUACCGUGCUCAAAAAUUAAUUCAAAAUCAUUCUAGACAUAAGUGUAAAAGUUGAAACUGCAAUGACUCUAGAAGAAAAUAUGGAGAAAAUAUCUCUCUGACCUUGGAGGAAGCAAAAAUUUCUUGUAGUUGACAAAGACAUAUAUAAUAAUCAUAUAAUCCAUUAAUUAUAAGAAAAAUAAACUGGACUUCAUCAAAAUUUAAAACUUCUGCCCAUUAAAAGAUACUAAUAAGAAGAUUAAAAGUAGCCAGGUUCAGUGGCUCAUACCCAUAAUCCCAGCACUUUGGGAGGCUGAAGCAGGGGGAUCACUUCAGGCCAGGAAUUUGAUACCAGCCUAGGCAACAUAGCAAGAUCUCAUUUCUACAAAAAAUGUUUUUAAAAUUAACUGGGUAUGAUGGCGCAUGUGUAGUCCUAGCUACUCAGGAGGCUGAGUUGGGAGGAUUGCUUGAGCCCAGCAGUUGAAGGUUACAGUGAACUAUGAUCGUACCACUGCACUCCAGCCUGGGCAACAGAGUGAGACCCUUUCUCUAAAAUAAACAAAUAAAUAAUUUUUAUGUCAUCUGAAACUAAGAUCAUACUGAAAUUUUCCCUCAGUGUCUCCAGAAUGUCUUUUUUGAAUGGUUUGCCCAAUGUAGUAUCUCAUUUAGAACCACGUGUUAUGGCCCUUCAGUAUUUUUUUGUUGUUGUUGUUGAGACAGAGUUUCACUCUUGUUCUCUUGUUGCCCAG